rnacentral:misc_RNA from 1 species
GAAAUGCGAUACUUGGUGUGAAUUGCAGAAUCCCGUGAAUCAUCGAGUCUUUGAACGCACAUUGCGCCUUUUGGUAUUCCGAGAGGCACGCCUGUCUGAGCGUCAGUAAACCCCUUCGGCCAGUAAUUGAUUGCAAGGCCGGUUGUUGGCGUCGGUCGCCCCCUCAACCCGCGGACCCCGAAUAGGGCUUCGGGCGGGAGGCCCCACGCUUAAAGCCACUGAAAGCGGCCAAAGUCGGAGGCACGCCCGGGCGAUAGUAGAAAUAUUAAAUCGCUGCCAGGGAAGUAUUCGAUCGCUUAAAAAAAAUUGGUCGGCGGCGGUCCUCGAACCACCGUCUUUAUAUUUUUGACCUCAGAUCAGACGAGGAUACCCGCUGAACUUAA